GAUGAAGAACGCAGCGAAAUGCGAUACUUGGUGUGAAUUGCAGAAUCCCGUGAACCAUCGAGUCUUUGAACGCAAGUUGCGCCCGAAGCCAUUUGGUUGAGGGCACGUCUGCCUGGGCGUCACAUAUCGUUGCCCGAUGCCUAUUGCACUGUGAUAGGAAAUUCUAGGGCGAAAGAUGGCUUCCCGUGAGCGUUGUUGCCUCGCGGUUGGUUGAAAAUUGAGUCCUUGGUAGGGUGUGCCAUGAUAGAUGGUGGUCGAGUUUGCACGAGACCGAUCAUGUGUGCGCUCCCCAAAAUAUGGACUCUUUGACCCCACACGCGUCUUUUGACGCACAUGACGAGACCUCAGGUCAGGCGGGGCUACCCGCUGAGUUUAAGCAUAUCAAUAAGCGGAGGA
rnacentral:misc_RNA from 1 species